AUUGAACGCUUGCGGCGUGCUUAACACAUGCAAGUCGAACGAAGUGGCGCACGGGUGAUUAAUAUAUAUUUAAUCUGCCCUCCACAGAGGAACAACAGUUGGAAACGACUGCUAAUACCUCAUAGUGGAGUCAGAGACUAUAUCUUAUCAGCUAGUUGGUAAGGUAAUGGCUUACCAAGGCUAUGACGCGUAACUGGUCGGAGAGGAUGAUCAGUCACAUUGGAACGGAGACACGGUGCAAACACAUACGGGAGGGAGAAGUAAGGAAUAGUGCGCAAUGGGGGAAAACCUGACGGAGCAACGCGGCGUGGAGGAUGACACUUUUCGGAGAGUAAACUCCUUUGAUCAGGAAAGCGGUACCUGAUGAAGAAGCACCGGCUAACUCCGUGCCAGCAGACGCGGUAAUUC
rnacentral:rRNA from 1 species